rnacentral:rRNA from 1 species
UGGCGGCAGGCUACACAUGCUGUAUCGAGCGAGAAGCUAACUUCGGUUAGGUGGACAGCGGCGCACGGGCGAGAUAACGCGUGGGAAUUUACCUUUCGGCGGGGGACAACAGUUGGAAACGACUGCUAAUACCGCAUACGCCCUACGGGGGAAAGAUUUAUCACCGCAAAGAUAGGCCCGCGUUAGAUUAGGUAGUUGGUAGGGUCAAAGCCUACCAAGCCGACGAUCUAUAGCUGGUUUGAGAGAACGAUCAGCCACACUGGAACUGAGACACGGUCCAGACUCCUACGGGAGGCAGCAGUGGGGAAUCUUGCACAAUGGGCGAAAGCCUGAUGCAGCCAUGCCGCGUGAGUGAGAAGGCCUUCGGGUUGUAAAACUCUUUUAGAUGUGAAGAUGAUGACGGUAACAUCAGAAAAAGCACCGGCUAACUUCGUGCCAGCAGCCGCGG